rnacentral:rRNA from 1 species
GGAAUUUUCCGCAAUGGGCGAAAGCCUGACGGAGCAACGCCGCGUGAGGGAUGAAGGCCUCUGGGCUGUAAACCUCUUUUAUCAAGGAAGAAGAUCUGACGGUACUUGAUGAAUAAGCCACGGCUAAUUCCGUGCCAGCAGCCGCGGUAAUACGGGAGUGGCAAGCGUUAUCCGGAAUUAUUGGGCGUAAAGCGUCCGCAGGCGGUCUUUUAAGUCUGUCGUCAAAGCGUGGAGCUUAACUCCAUUACUGCGAUGGAAACUGGGAGACUAGAGUGUGGUAGGGGCAGAGGGAAUUCCCGGUGUAGCAGUGAAAUGCGUAGAUAUCGGGAAGAACACCAGUGGCGAAGGCGCUCUGCUGGGCCAUAACUGACGCUCAUGGACGAAAGCCAGGGGAGCGAAAGGGAUUAGAUACCCCUGUAGUCCUGGCCGUAAACGAUGAACACUAGGUGUCGGGGGAAUCGACCCCCUCGGUGUCGUAGCCAACGCGUUAAGUGUUCCGCCUGGGGAGUACGCACGCAAGUGUGAAACUCAAAUGAAUUGACGG